CCUACGGGAGGCAGCAGUGGGGAAUAUUGCACAAUGGGGGAAACCCUGAUGCAGCAACGCCGCGUGAGUGAGGAAGUAUUUCGGUAUGUAAAGCUCUAUCAGCAGGGAAUAGAAAAGAAGGUACCUGAAAAAGAAGCCCCGGCUAACUACGUGCCAGCAGCCGCGGUAAUACAUAGGGAGCGAGCGUUAUCCGGAUUUAUUGGGUGUAAAGGGUGCGUAGACGGGAAUACAAGUUGGUUGUGAAAUCCCUCGGCUCAACCGAGGAACUGCAACCAAAACUAUAUUUCUUGAGUGCUGGAGAGGAA
rnacentral:rRNA from 1 species